rnacentral:tRNA from 1 species
GCUACGUGAGCUCAGUUGGUAGAGCGUUAAACUUUUCAUCUAAGGGUCAGGGGUUCGAAUCCCCUAGAGGGCU